UUGCCCCAGUAACGGCGAGUGAAGCGGCAACAGCUCAAAUUUGAAAUCUGGCUUCGGCCCGAGUUGUAAUUUGCAGAGGAUGCUUUGGGCGCGGCGCCUUCUGAGUUCCCUGGAACGGGACGCCACAGAGGGUGAGAGCCCCGUAUAGUUGGACGCCUAGCCUGUGUAAAGCUCCUUCGACGAGUCGAGUAGUUUGGGAAUGCUGCUCAAAAUGGGAGGUAAAUUUCUUCUAAAGCUAAAUACCGGCCAGAGACCGAUAGCGCACAAGUAGAGUGAUCGAAAGAUGAAAAGCACUUUGAAAAGAGGGUUAAAUAGCACGUGAAAUUGUUGAAAGGGAAGCGCUUGUGACCAGACUUGCGCCGGGCCGAUCAUCCGGGGUUCUCCCCGGUGCACUCGGCCCGGCUCAGGCCAGCAUCGGUUCUCGCGGGGGGACAAAGGCCCAGGGAACGUAGCUCCUCCGGGAGUGUUAUAGCCCGGGGCGUAAUGCCCUCGCGGGGACCGAGGUACGCGCAUCUGCAAGGAUGCUGGCGUAAUGGUCACCAGCGACCCGUCUUGAAACACGGACCAAGGAGUCAAGGUUUUGCGC
rnacentral:rRNA from 1 species